UCUGCCGGCGGAAGGACGGAGGCGCUCCGGGGGUGCCGGUGGUGCAGUGUGCGACAGAAUGUGUUGUCUUUUGUCACCACCGCCACCUAAAAUGGGCUGGGUAUAUUUGCUUCCCCCGCCUCGCAGUAGAGAAGGAGAGGCGAUUCCCCUUGAUACGAUGCAGGCAGGUCUGUUCCUUGGCUGGGAAGCUUCGUACUGGCAGUACGCUCUAAGCACGUUCAGAAAGUAAUUUUUUUUUUUAAGGCGUACCGUAAGGAUAAGCUUUCAGACAGCCUGGAAUUACUGUGCAACCUAAAGAGCGAAAUGAGGUAACACUUAUUUCAUAAGGUCGUGUCGUACAAGGAAUAGAAACGCAAACUGAAUUGAGCCAAUUCUUGUGUGCCAUUCCCCCUCUCCUUUUCUUGUUCUGAUGUUAAUGGCUGCUGAAAGGCUGUGUCAUCUCAAAGGAUCAAAAGGAUCCCAAAAACCCAAAAGGCUGUCAUGUCACAUAGUUGGUUUUUUUUGUUGUUGUUGUUUUUUCCUUUUUUUUUUUUUUUUUUUUUUUUUUUUCCUCCAAAUCCACUCACUGUCUAAUAACCUGGGCAGACCUUUGUUUCCUCCCCAUUUCUCUCUGAGGCCCGAGGCUUUGCAGAAGGCCAGCGUCAGUGGUGCUGGGCAGCGUGAGGGCUGCUCUGUGCUUCCAGAGCCUGCAGCUUCAGCAUAGGAAACUUUGCUGGAGUGGUAGAACAAGACCCUGCUUGAGGCAAAACUGUAGGGGUUUGUAUUGCCAGACUGCGUUUCUGAUCUAGACCAAGCUUUAGUAGAAGAAAUUCACUAUGUAGUACUUUUGUGAGAAGAAUCUUUGAUGAGCUGCAGUAAUUCAUGGGAAUGAAUUUUGCAUGAGAAUUUCAUCUCCAGAGGCUGCUGUGAGUCUAAAGCAUUUAACUGCAGCAAUUACCCAAGUGUGCCCAGGAAACCUCUGGUUCACAGGGUGUUAUUAACCUCUCACAGAUAUGAAUAUCAGCUGCACACAAUAUGUUAAAUGGCUAACAUUCACAAGGCAUGUGCAGAUUUGUUGUGAGGGCUACUUACUAUAUCAAGCAUAGGAUAUAAAGCUGAAAAGAGAAUUUUCAUCUUUUUCCAGGUUUCAACCCAGACCUACAUUUCAAUUUUACCACAAUUCAGGAGCAGAAAUCAGUUAGGCCCAAUUAGGAUAAAUUCAGCUAUUAAGUCUAAAUUCUAGAAUAGACACAGAUACCUUAAAGGUUUAAGUUUGUUUGAGUUGCCUUAAAAACAACAGAUGAAUCAGUAUCAGAGAAUACCAUUGUGCUCUAAGCAAUGAAGGCCUUUUUUGUAUAUGUGCAAGAACAGCUAUUUUAAUUUUGUAGGUAUUUUUCUGACGGAGUUCUUUGGGCACAGCCUUCGUGGCCAAAGCUGCGUGAAGAGCAACGGCAGUAGAAGACUGUCCUGAUUGUGGCACGAUGGUUUUAGUUAAUAGAGACGGGUUUUAGGCGUGCACAGGCAGCGCUUCAGGCUCCGAUUUCACGCCUGGGCCGUUGCCGGCUUUGCCAGCAGGUGGCAGAGGCUGAUCAGCGCUCUGCCCCCCUGAUCUGGGGAACGCGCCCUGGGGACACCGCAUCUGCCUGGCAAGGUUAAGCCCUGCUUACCACAAUAAUCUUAUCAGCUGAAACUGUUUCUACAGAACUGGACCCUUAACAAAAUUGAGAUGCAAGCGCUUGAAAUAUGGUAAAAGUUAGACCAUUGUAGGCUUUAAUUAUAUGUAAGCAUGGCAAAACAGGCUUGGGAGGGGGAAGACUUGAAAAACUUGGGCGUCUGGAUUGUUAUUUGUGUUACUGCUUAAUUUACUGGCGUACAACUGAUCCUUCAGAGAAGAAGCCGAGUGCUGUGCACAGAGCCUGACCUGAGUUACACCAGGAUAUCUGUAAUGACAGCAGCAAAGCUGUUCUGGGUGUUUACCAGUACAGGUUCAAAGUCUCAUUUGAGGGCCCUGAUCUUCAUAGGGAUGUCAGUUUCUACUGCUGAAAGACAGUUGAUUGACACUGGAUUUUUUUUGAUGGAUAACGAAGUCUCUGAGUGAAGGACACAGUGGAAAAUAAUAAUGGCUAAAUAUAACAAGAAAGCAUUUAUUUCAACAAUUCAGUCUUUCUAAUAAUAAAUGCUUUCAAGAAUAAAGAAUGUUGCUAUUUUUCUGCAUGACACAAGAAAGGGUUUUGACCUAGGGCAAAGGAGAGAGGGAGAGCUUCAGUAUCAUUUACAGAGUGCUCAAAUGGUUGUUUAGGAGUAGCCACAAGGUUUACAUGCUGUUUGCAUUCAUUGUCCAAUAUUUCAAGGGAAUUUGUCUAAAGAAUUAAGUGUCGUGUACAACUCUUUAAAUAAACAAAAGGAAAGUAAUACAGAUCUCUGUAUGAUUAGGUGAUCCCUAGCUGCUGCUCACACAGAGUAGCAACUGGAGGCUCAAUUAUAUUUCUUAAUUAGAAUUUAGCACAAAGUUACUUGGAUUUUAUGAACAUAUAAGCUGCAUUGCCAAGAGCCACACAUGUUUUAUUUAAGAGGACUUAUAAAUAUGGUGAGUACAACCUAUUAGAGAGUCAAAAGUGACUUCAAAAGAAGUAAGUAAAUAGCACCUUAAAGAGAUGUAGGGUUCAUUUGAUAUUUUAACCUUAUGCCAUUCAAAUAAUAGAAAUCUCAAAUUUAAGGAGCAGUUUUGGGUAAGGCCUGAUCCUGCUAUGAGUAGCUAUGAGUGGUCUUCACUAAUGAGUGGAAAGGGCAAAUUCUUUGCAGUUUCCUGUGUAUUGGAUACUCAGUUGUUCACCACCAUGCAAACUUUGUGUUCCCAGCAAACCAUAAAUGUAAACCGGUAACUUUUAGAAAGCUAAACCCAGCUUAAUCCUUUUUCUUAUUAUUACUUUACUGAUGACCUUCCUUUUGCACCAUCAGUUCUGUUCUCAUGCCAAAACUAAUACAUAGUAAGGAUAAAGAGCAUUUAAAGCCUUCACUAACAGGUUUGCUUAGCUGACAAUCUUUCUCAUACAGCCCAGCUACAUCCACAAUGUCAUCACUGGAAGGACACUGGGCUGGAUUGUGAAGCCUGCUCCUCGUUGUGAAAGCUAUAAAGUUCACUGCCAGAUAACAAGACUGAAAGCUAAUUCAGGAACUGUUUCUCAAGAGCUAUCCUCUGGCCUCCCUCAUCAGAGUGAAUGCACUCACUCACUGAAGCAUCUUUUGGCAGCAGCUUUGGCCUUCCUCCAGCUGUUUCUCUCUUCUCAGGGAUUUUCUUGUUCAGUGACUGGUUGUGGUCUUUAAUCCUGGUUAUCUUGUACAAGGAGCCCCACUGAGAAAAGAAGCCUUCCCCGCCAUGGAACAGCCAAAUUAAAGCACAUUUGUAAAAAUCAUAA